UUUAAAGAAACACUCCGAGCCGCAGCGUUCUAACCGCCAGACGUAUGAAACUUCGGCCUCAGCAUUGUGCUGACAGGGUAAACGGGGAAACCGGUUUGCCUCCCUUGUAUUUUGGAAAGGUGUGUCUAUGUUACAGGA
rnacentral:ncRNA from 2 species